rnacentral:rRNA from 1 species
AGCCUGAACGCUGGCGGCGUGGCUAAGACAUGCAAGUCGAACGGGUGUAGCAAUACACCAGUGGCGGACGGGUGAGUAAUGAAUCGCUAAUGUACCCCGGAGCCAGGGAUAGCUAUCCGAAAGGAUAGGUAAUACCUGAUGAGACCACAGUGCCGCAUGGCACGGUGCUCAAAGCAGCAAUGCACUCUGGGAGCAGGCGAUUUUGUAUCAGCUUGUUGGUGAGGUAAUGGCUCACCAAGGCGACGACGCAUA